CGAAGUAACUGCACUGUGACCCCGGGAGCGGCCACGGCGCUGGCAAGGCUUAGCGCCUCCGGAAAAUGGAACGCAACGGCCACCGUCCUGCCUCCACCUCAGCCUUCAAGGCCCAAAUGACUAACCCAGGAUGGAGAGGAAUGGUUUGGAACUUUGGCCCUAACUGAACAUAAAACAAGUACUAGGAAGAAAAUGAUAGCUGUGUGGCUCUGACCCAUGAACCAGAAAACAGUAUUAUGUACAAAAGAGGAACCUGCAAUUCAGUCAACUCUAAAUCCAUAGAACAUCCCAGUGGACCAAUAGUGACUGAAUCAAGCAGCAGUCUGAUGAAACUCACAACAAAAAAGCUGGUAUGACCACAUCUAGGUCAGGAACCCUCAGAAAUCAGACCAGAAGGACAAUGAACAGACACUCCCCUGAAAUCUCACUAUCUUAGUAGCCAAUACUAGUCCCUAGAUUGAACUUGGAAAAAAUAGAAGAUGAGAAAGUCAAGCCAGACAUCCUUUUAUCUGCAGAAGUGGACAGAACCUAACACUAACAAAAUUCAUAGUCAAGAAGUAAAUUAUCAAAAAGGAAAAAUGAGGAGGAAAAUCCCACCAUGAAGACCUAUUAUAGUAAAAGAAGUACAAGACAAAAAGACAAUGACUUGAAAAAAUCCAUAUGUAAAGUCUCAAAAAAAAUACAUCUUGGACACAAGUCCAACAAGAAUUUCUAGAAGAGUUAAAGCAAGUGUAAAUGAAAGAGCUUUUAAAAAAUAGAAUUUUAAAAAGAAAAGAACAGUAGAGGAAAGAAUGAGAAAAAGGACAAGUGGAAGAAACAUGAAAGAAUAGGAUGGAAGAAGAGAUAUAAAGCCUCAUCAAAGAAAAUGAUUCCUUGAAAAUUGUGUUGCUGAAUCACAUUCAACUCUUUGUGACCCUGUGAAUCAUACUAUCCAUGGAAUUUUCUUGGCAAAGUUAUUUUCUUCUCCAAUAAAUUAUAGCAAAUGGAAGCUAAUUAGCUUGUCCAGGAUCACACAGCAGUAUUUAUCCGAGACUGGAUUUGAACUCAGACUUGACUCUAGGUCCAGCACUCUAUUGACUGGGCUUCCUAACUGCUUUGAGAAAGAGAAUUAGCAAAAUGGAAGCUAAUGACUCAAUGAAAUAUCAAGAAACAAAACCAUCUGGGGAAAGACUGGGAGAAAAUGUGAUAUGUCGUGGGGAGAAAAACUGACCAGAAAACAAAUGAAGGAGAAAUAUUUUAAUAAUCAUUGGACGAUAUAUCUGAAACUGUAACCAUAAAAGAUUUUAAAUAUCACAUUUCAAGAAAUCACAAAAGAAAACUCCACAGACAUCUCAGAACCAGAGAACAAAGGAGAAACUGAAAGAACCUAUCAAUUAUCUUCUGAAAGAAACCCACAAAUGAAAACUCCCAGAAAUACUAUAUCCAAAAUAAAAAACUCCCAGUUGAAGGAAAAAAUAAUGCAAGUACCCAGAAGGAAAGAAUUUGAGUACAGAGGAAGUACAGUUAGAAUCACACAAGAUUAAGCAGCUAUGAGUAUAAAAGGAAUGGAAAGCCUAGAGAAUAUGAUAUUGUAAAAGGAUGAAACAACCAAGAAUAAAUUAACCAGAAAACUAAGUAUAAUCUUAGAAUGGAAAAAAAAAAUUAAUCUUUAAAGAAAUAAAGGACUUCUAAGCAUCCCUGAUGAACAGAUAGAUUUGAGUUGAAAAUUUGACAUACAAACACAGGAAUGAAGAGAAACCUAAAAAAUUAAGCAAUCACAAGGGACUGAACAUUAUUAAAUUAUUUACAUUUUUAUAUGAAAAGAUGACACAUAUAACCCCUUGACUUUAUGUUCACUGGAGGUUAGAGAGGGAAUCUAAUUGAACAAGUUAUAUUUGGAUGUUCUCAAAAGAGGAGGACACUGAAAUAAAAGGGAAGGGAGAAGAACAAGGAAAAUUAUCUCACAUAAAUAGGAUGUAAUAAGAAGACUUUGCACAACAAGGAGCGAACAAUUGGGGUAGAAUAUACACAUUUGAAACUCACUGUUACCUGAACUAGUUAAAGGAAAAAAAAAAACAUAACACACAGUUG